GAGAAUGCCGGUAUGAGUAGCGAAAGAUAGGUGAGAAUCCUAUCCACCGAAUGACUAAGGUUUCCUGGGGAAGGCUCGUCCUCCCAGGGUUAGUCGGGACCUAAGUCGAGGCCGAGAGGCGUAGACGAUGGAUAACAGGUUGAGAUUCCUGUACUAGUUAAGUGCGUUUGAGCAAUGGAGGGACGCAGGAGGCUAAGAUGUGCAUUCUGUUGGAUUAGAAUGUCCAAGCAGUAAGUCUUGUGAAGAGUCAAAUGCUUUUCACUUUAAGGACAAGCUGUGAUGGGGAGCGAAAUUUAGUAGCGAAGCGUCUGA
rnacentral:rRNA from 1 species